rnacentral:sRNA from 1 species
GCUGUCGCAAAAUCGGCAGCCGGGCGUAGGAACCCGAGUAAUCUAACGGCGACACAACACGCGCCCUGCGUGUUUUUU